rnacentral:rRNA from 1 species
AACAAAAACAUGUCCUUUUGAGUUUUAUUUAAGGUCUAACCUGCCCAAUGAGAAAUUUAAAUGGCCGCAGUAUUUUGACUGUGCAAAGGUAGCAUAAUCAUUAGUUUUUUAAUUGAAAGCUUGUAUGAAGGGUUGGACGAGAUAAAGACUGUCUUAAGUUAAUUUAUUUUAGAAUUUAAUUUUUAAGUUAAAAAGCUUAAAUGAAAUUAAAAGACGAGAAGACCCUAUAGAUCUUAAUAAUUUUUAUUUUAAUUAAAUUUUAGAAUUAAUUAUUAUUUAUAAUAAAAAUUAUUAUAUUGGGGUAAUAUAAAGAUUAAAAUAAUUCUUUAUUUAUAUAUACAUUAGUUUAUGAAUAUUUGAUCCAAUAUUAUUGAUUAUAAGAUUAAGUUACCUUAGGGAUAACAGCGUAAUUUUUUUAGAGAGUUCAUAUCGAUAAAAAAGUUUGCGACCUCGAUGUUG